UCGCGCCGCGCUGGCGGGGAGGAGACGCGAGGGUCGAUCCCCGGGUGCCCCGACCCCGGCUGGGACUCACGCCCCGCAAGGCGAACGACGCGGGCCUAGCUCCGGGGGGAGGGGGCGGAGGCUGGACGGCCGGCUGCCUGGGGAUUGUAAAGAUCAGCAACAGUCAUAGCCAUCGCUUAUUGAGCUUCUAUUAAGUGCCAAGCAGACUGCCGACAGUAUUAACGCGUUCGUUCAGCGUCUCUAGACCGACCGUGGCCUGGCCAACAGUCCUCAGGUAGUUCCCUAAGAGAAAUGAAGGCACAUGUUCACAUGAAGUCUUACACACGAAUGUACGCAGAAGCUUUAUUUGCAAUAGCCGAGACCUGGAAACAGCCUAAAUGUCCAUCAUUUUGCGAAUGGAUAAGCAGAUUGCGGUUUUUGCAUGCAGUGGGAUUACUACUCAGCAACUAAAUAAACAGAGGAGAGAUGCAUGCAUUGAUGGAUAUGUAAACAUGCCUGGGUGAACAUGAAAAAUAAUUAUCCAGCGAAAGAAGGCACUGAAAGUCCUGGUAAAGUCCUUCCUGAAACAAAGUAAUGCAGAGCACAGAGAGAGCAAGCACGGCACGAAGGUCCCGGCUGUCCCGGCGGAGAGGGCGUACUCACAGCCUGCUUCAAGAGCACAUGUCACAGCUGACCCUCGAACAGCAUGAGCUGGGAUUGUCUGAGGCCGUUUAUGUGGGUUUUCUUCCAAUAAAUAUCAGUUCAUUUCAGUCGCUCAGUCGUGUCCGA